CUUCUCCCCUGGAUUCAGAUUUCCAUUUGUGUCCCUAACAAAGCACAUAUUUGGGGCUUGGUAUCUCGCUGGUUCAUCUCUCCCCAUCCUAACGAUCCCUUUGCAUUUCAGACUUUCUGCCCAAGGAAGAAAUGCUGUGAAUGCAGCUGAUAAUGGUGAUGGAUGAGGACAUGAGGUAUCGUGGCCAGUGAAUCAGCCAAGUUACCAGAGGCUGCCAUGGUACAGGCUCCGUCUGAAUGAUGGAGAACAUGGAGUUUGGAAUCUUUUCUGUUCUGGGACAAUGAAUGACGUUUGUUAGUAGGCUAGGAGCAUUGUAGGACAUGGUAACGGUGGAAACAGAGAAUUGGAGUCAGACAGGGCUCUAGACAAGGUGCAGAGCCCUGAAGUGCUCACUACACGGUAGGAGGCCGACUGGAGAGGUCCCAGGCUCCCUUGGCUGCGGUGCCAGGACUCUGUGGGUCUGCUGAGUGACCUGGACCUGCCCUUCAGUUCAAGUCAUGGGUCUCUCAAGCACUACUGCCACCUGCUCUCCACCAUCCUGAACUGCGCCCUGACCUCAUGAGCUAGAAUAAACCCUCCCUCCACUAAGUUGCUCUUGUUGGCAUUUUAACACAGCGAAGAGAAAACCAAUAGGAGCAUCGAUGGCCCA
rnacentral:lncRNA from 1 species